UGAUCAUUCUAGUUCUCUCACUUUCCUUGUCCUAAUUGUCCUGUAUCUGUUAAAUCCGUUUCAUCUCUGGUCUUUCUGUCUGUAUUAACAUUUGUAGAAAUGACUUGUAGUCCAUAUUUUUAAAUGAUUCAUGAUUUUGAAUUUAAAUAAAGAUAUUCUUUAAUUCUGUAUUUUGUCGUUUAAUUAUCAUUAGAAAUCAGAAGAUCAGAUUAAAGCCACGGCUUCUUUACCUGCCGAAGCUGUAAAACUUUCAAUAAACCAGUCAAUAGAUCAGCUGGAUAAAUGUAGAUUUUUAUUUACUGAUUAGAUGUAUUGAUGGUGUUGAUAGAUUAUUUGAAGAUUUUUAUUGAUCUUGAACAAUCAUUCAGUUAAAUAUUUUUUUUAAAAAACUUGAUAAAUAGUUGAUUAAAUAAAUGUAGUGUAAUGUACUGAGUCAAAUAUGAAAACUACAAAUAAAUAAAAUAUAUUUAUAUCUGUGUAUAAUUAAAAACCUCACUUAAUACAAGAAAUUCAUAUCCUAAAUGUUGCAAGUGAUUAAUCUGAUCAUUUUAUUCACCUGUUUAAUUAUUACUUUCUAAAUAAUAAACAAAUGAAUGUUCUGGAUUCAUGAGGAAUGUUUACAUUUUGUGUCCAAACUCAAAAGUUUAAACAAAGUGUAUAUUUAUGAUAAUAAAGCACAAAGAACGUGAAACCUCAACACGUCUACAAUCAUCGAUGAAUUAAAUAUUAAUUAAAAAAAUUAAAUUAAACAAGAGUAAGAUGAAGUAUAUUUUUAAUUAAAAUGUAAUUAGAAAGGAGCACUUUUAAAGUGGAUUUGAUUUAAAAUAAUGAUAAAGCUGUUUUUUUUAUGUAUUUGUAUAUCUUAUCCUCUAUCGUGUUUAAGAAGAAGAGAAUAAAGAAGCUUUUUAUGAAAUAAUAUUUGGGUUUAUUUUAUUUUCUCCUCACAGAUUCAAAUUUACGUCAACAUCCGUUACGUUGGUGACGUCACCGCGAGCGCGAGAAGUCGAAGUGAGGAGCAGAAAGCGUUGUUAGUGUUAGUUCUGGCCCGUUUGGACCCAAACUAAAGUGUAUCAGUAUGAAGCAGGCGGUGACGGCGCACUGAUUCACUCUCGGAGCUCGGUUCACUAAUGACCGAAUCACCGAGGAACUGACCAAAGAUAACUCACACCCGCACGGAGAAGAAGAACAAGAGGAGGAGAAGAUGAGCUGGAGUGGGGCAAAGAGAACUGCAUUCAGAUCAAACGGUGGCUGAGUCGUUUGAGGAUCUGAAGAAUUGAGUGUCACAAUUCAACAUGCACAUCAGCGAAACUUCUCCCUCUGACUACACCGGCGCGCGCACACAGAAAUUCAUAGUGCAGGUGGCGAUUGCAGGCGCAUUUUAUCCGAACUGCUUCCUCCAGGGAACUGUGGACGAGGAGCUCGCCUCCAAGGAGCUCUAUGGAAAUGACCCCAGGACCACCAUAGUGGUGUGUAAUCUCCCUCCAUUUGCAUUCCUCUACUAUAAACAGCUCCAGUCUCUCUUCAGACACUGUGGUUAAGUCAAAUCCAUCUCCUUUGACAGCUCCAGGGCCUAUGUAGAGUUCUACCGCUCGUCAAUGAGAGGUUCUGGCGUUCUCCCAGAAGUCUCUCUGUCUCUCCUCCUCGCGCAGCAGAGACUUCCUCUCCAUCUCAACGUUUAACCCGCUGGAGAGGUGGAGACUUGGGCAGGGGGGUAGUGUAUCUCACACCUCAGAUAUACACGGUACACACACACACACACACACACACACACACACACACUGCAGCGAGCAUCAUCAGAUGAGUCAUAGUUACAUUUUAAGUGAGAGUAGUCAUGUGACCACAUCCCCUAGACAGUGUGAUGUUUAGAUGAUGUUCUGUACAUUAGUGCUGUUCUGUUACAGGUCUCUCUCUCUGUGUCUCUCUCACUCACUGUGUGUGUGUCUCUCUCUCAGGGUGAAUGUGGAUUUUCAGAAUCAGUCAGUGAGCCCUGUCGGGGUUCUGAGCAGCUCCAUUGAGUUGGAGAAUCUUCCGUCUAACCCUGUCUUUAUCGUCAAUAUCACCGCGGUCAUCGAAGUGGGGCAUUUCUGGGGUUUCCAGGCUCACGAGGCAAGUCUGGAGAAACAGAGGUGGCUGACAGUGGCCGUUAAUACACGGGCGCUCCGCCCACUUCCUGUCUCACUUUAUCCAAAUCUUCUGUGUCUCGCCCCUUUCUCUGAAACUCACACCAAACCUGGGAACUACUACAGAGCCAAAAUACUGCAUGUCAUGGGGAGUAAUGUGGAGGUGUUCUUUGUGGACUUUGGAAACACUUCCAAGGUGCCAUGUAACUCUCUCUGGAACUUCCUGCUGACCGGCAAGCUCUGCCCUUUCAGGUAUUGUCUCCAUGGCAACAAUUUAGGCUGUAAACAUUAAACACUUAAUCUCCAACAACACGUAGUUAAUCCAAAAUAGUGUGUACCAGAAGUGUAUAUACUGAGGGGAGUGUGUUUGUGUUCGUUCAGGCUCAGGAGUUCAGCGUGACGUGUUUGGCAUCGUCGGCACAGUCAGUCAAGAAGUCAGUGUUACAGAGUAAAAGUCUUUUAAUUCAUUCAGUACAACAAUUUCAAGAAACACAAUCAAACAUCACAAGCUCAUCACACAACUUGGUGACGUCUUCCACGUCCUUCAUCUGAAAACACACAGACGAAAUAGAAAUCACACACUGUUUAUUAAUUUGCAUAAUUUUCUGCGGCUGGUUCAUGUAAAUACUCGUACAGUCAGGCAGGUGUUGGUUGUUUAAGGAAACUUUUUAUUUAACAAAAA